GAUGAACGCUGGCGGCGUGCCUAAUACAUGCAAGUCGAACGCUGAAGGAAGGAGCUUGCUCUUUCCGGAUGAGUUGCGAACGGGUGAGUAACGCGUAGGUAACCUGCCUGGUAGCGGGGGAUAACUAUUGGAAACGAUAGCUAAUACCGCAUAACAGUAGAUGUUGCAUGAUAUCUACUUAAAAGGUGCAAUUGCACCACUACCAGAUGGACCUGCGUUGUAUUAGCUAGUUGGUGAGGUAACGGCUCACCAAGGCGACGAUACAUAGCCGACCUGAGAGGGGGAGCGGCCACACUGGGACUGAGACACGGCCCAGACUCCUACGGGAGGCAGCAGUAGGGAAUCUUCGGCAAUGGACGGAAGUCUGACCGAGCAACGCCGCGUGAGUGAAGAAGGUUUUCGGAUCGUAAAGCUCUGUUGUAAGAGAAGAACGAGUGUGAGAGUGGAAAGUUCACACUGUGACGGUAUCUUACCAGAAAGGGACGGCUAACUACGUG
rnacentral:rRNA from 1 species